GAUCAUGAAAAGUUUAUUUCUACAUGCAAACUAGAUAGAAGGAAAAAAUAUGGCAGAAAUUCUAAAGUUUAUUUAUGUGAUGAUUAUUUUCCUUUUCAUGUAUAUCAUUGUAACUAAUGGAAAUUAUUUAUGUGAUGAAGAUAAAGAUUGUCCUAAAAAUAUUUGUCUCUAUAAUGAAUAUCCACGUUGCAUGAAGGGUAUUUGUCGAUGUGUGAAAUUGUAGUUUUUCUUACAAUCAUAAAAUUAUAUUAUUUCAUUCAAUAAUGUGGGAAUAAUGCAAGAUGAGAUCAAAUCAAAUGUUUAGAAAUCAAGAUGGGAUCAAAUCAAAUUGUCGUUCUUAAGUUCAAAUAUAAUUAUUUGGUAAUUAUAAGAUUAUAAAUGCCUUUGCAAUUGUAAUGUUGGUUUUUUUAUAUUUCUUCCA